UGAGGAAUAUUUAUUGGACUCAAUUUCGUGUUGGAUCUAAUAAAUUGAAUAAAUAAUACAAAAAUCCAGUCUGGUGGAAAAUAAAUUGUGGGCUGCACAAUUUAAAUAAAAUACAAAGGACCGUGAAUCAAACUAAUUUACUUAAAUCUUUUCCUCCUUGACUUGGUCACCAAGACUUUCCUUAGUUCAAAUUUUAAAUAAAUAUUCUGCAGAGAUUUUUCCUCUCCUCCAUGAUCUGCAAAUAAAAUUCCAAACAAGUAAAAUUAGUCAAUCUCACGUUAAAAAAAACUGUAUCCCACUCCUUUCCCACGUUCAAUAAUAAAUCAUCCCACUCCGUGAAUCUUUUCCAAAUCUAAACCACCAAUCAGCUGUUAAUUCCAAUUAUUUAGGGAAUCAAUUUCCUCAAUUAAUCAAUCCAGGAACGAUUGUUUUUAUACCCUAAUCUCCUUCUCCACCUCCACUCGCUCAUACAAACACUCUCGCAGUGAAGAAUACGACAGAGAAGAAGAAGCAUCAUCCAAUGCCUCCAUCUCCUUCCCAACGCUGAAUCUAAAUUUCAAAAUGAAAAGCAGAUCGAGAGGAGUUUCGCCACCGAUCGGACUAACAUUCGAGACUUGUGGUUUAGGUAUAAGAUUUUCUCAACACUUUUCUUCGUCUCAUACGAAUGCAUUCAUAACAGCGCCUCAUCUAAAUCCAUGACUCUUUAUGAAAUAAAUUCAGACAGCUUUGUGCGACGGAAAUAGAUCAAAGGGGAAAAGCACAAACUCGUCCUCCCUUUCUCAAAUUGAAUCUGCUAUACCUACGGUGAAUCCUCGCAAGCGAAACGUGAUACCAAGGGGAAGAAAAUACUUGUGAAUUAAGAACUCGAGGUAGGGGAGAGAUCACAAUUAGUGACAACGUUAGCAAGUCCACCUACAAGAUAGAGAGCGCGACGCUUAAGUAUGAAGAGGCGCAACAAGCUAAGAUGGAGUAUUAAUGCAGGGUGGUCAUGAUGACCGACACAACAAAACCUCGUGGACCACUAGAAGGGGAAGAUCUUUCUAACCCUUCUAUUUUUAUUGUUAACACUUUACCUCAUGCUCCUAAAAAGGGCACGCCUAAGCCUCCUAAGGUUCCUUCGCAGGAAAAACCAAAGAGGAAAAAGAAAACUCAACCGCAACUCGACCUCGAAAUCAAUGUGAUCAAGACCGCGAAAGGGAAAUACAAAUGGUGGAAAAGUUGGACACUAAAUUGGUCCAAUUCGCGGGUUUCAGCACUAGGGUCGUCGAUCCGCCCACCUAGUUGGGUCACUUCAAGUCGAGCCAACGACAUAAAACAAAGACGCUUAUUGGGAGGCAACCCAAUUUGUUUUUCCUUAUUUUCGUUUAUCUGUAAUUUUCGUGCACUUUGCACAUAAAAAAAAUUUAAUUCGUAGCGGCCGUUGCACAAUCCACAGCGGUCGCUGCCCUUUUUACACGUGUGCAGGUAUCGGUCGGGCCCUGGGGCGGGCUGCAGCGGUCGAUGUGUAGGUCGCAGCGGCCUGGAGAGACGCACCGUUUUUUCAUAAGACGUGCAACGGUCGCUGCGCGAAGGUCAGUGACGCGAACUGCUUCUAUAAAGGUAGGUUUUCUCAUUCAAAUUUUCAUCUUUUCUCUCCAUUCUUCCUUGCACACGACCCCAACUCAAUUUCAUCAUCAAUUUCACACACCCACACUCUCAUUCAUCCAUUGCAUCUCAAUUCUCAAGCUUUCAUCAAGCAAUUUCACUUCAACACAAGGUAUGAAUCCUAACUUUGAUUUCUAAGUUUAGUUUCAAUUCUUUCAUGGAUUUUGCUCUCUAUUGUUGAAUUGUUCGGAUGAAAAGCAUGCUUUAGUAUGGGGGAUGAGUGUGAUGAUGUUUCUCCUUGCUUUUCAUGGUUAGAUUUUUUCCUAGGGUGGUGAAUUGUUUUUUUUUUUGGUGAUUUCCAUCUUGGUCUUUGUUGUUUAUAAAUUGCAAUCAUGUUCAUAGCAUUGUGAGGCUAUUAUUACUUCCAUGAAUUGCAAUACUUGUGUAGAUUAUAAAGAUUGUUGUUUUGUGAUAUCUAUGUUGAUACGCCUCUGCAUGGGGGAUUAAUUCACGUUGGGGGAUGGAUUGUUGUUGUUCUUUUGUGUUGGUGUUGAUUUACAUGUUCACAUGCUGCACUUUAGAACACAUAUUGACACAAGCUUGCACUUCAUUGUUUAUUUUUGAUAUAUGUGUGGUUGAGUGCAAGUUUGAGGGAAACCCUUGUUUGUCUAUUUGUAUGGUGCUCUUCUAAGAACUUGAUUUUUUUUAUAGGAAGAUGACAACAAGAGGCAAUCCCUAAAACGCGAAGAGCUAUGGAAUUAGCCUUCCGAUGGAUGACCACAAGGCAAUGUGAAAGAAGGUCUCGGCUAGAGAUACGAUGCCUUCUCGGUACCCACACGAGCUUCCCCCUCGCUACCUUGGGGAUUAUUGAAGAUUUCUAGGUGUUGUACAACGUCGGGGAGGGGAAUGGUUUGAGCCACAUGUUCCAAAGAAGGUGUCCGUCCUACAGGAGACUCACUCUGGAGUUUCUUAGAACCCUCAAGGUGCACAAAAACCACCGUUCCCGCAUCCCCGAGACGAUAGACUUCCGCUUCGGCAACCGCAACCAUUCCUUCUCCAUGGAGGAUCUCUGCGAGGUGUUUCAUUGCUACAACCUCAACCCCGGCGAAGAAGUGGAGUACGACUACUUCGAUGUUUGGGGUGCCAUGACUAUAGAGGGAGAUGACUUCAUCCCGGCUUAUGCCAAGUCUUCCUCCAUCCGUAACCCUGUCCUAAGGUUUUUGGACUCUCGUCAGCGACCGCUGCAGUGCGCGCAGCAGCCCACUGUACACCCACUGGAAACAUUCUGACCAUUGCCACUGGAUGAUCACCAGCGACCGCUGCCUAAUUGUAGUUUCCAGCGCGAUUUUUUGAACUUUUCGAAUUUUCACCCCAUCCAGCCCCUACGCGAAAUUUUUCAAGCUAUGUUUUCUUUUCAGUAGUUUACUCAUGUCCUUAUUGACUCUACAAACUUAUUUUACACUUUGUUGUAAAAAAGGUUUGUGGGGAUGAAGUGGUGGACCGUGAGUUUAGGGUUUUGUUUUAGGUUUUUAGUUUAAAUGUUUGUUUU